GACGAACGCUGGCGGCGUGCUUAACACAUGCAAGUCGAACGGAAAGGCCCAGCUUGCUGGGUGCUCGAGUGGCGAACGGGUGAGUAACACGUGGGUGAUCUGCCUCUAACUUCGGGAUAAGCUUGGGAAACUGGGUCUAAUACCGGAUAGGACAAUCGUUUAGUGUCGGUUGUGGAAAGUUUUUUCGGUUAGGGAUGAGCCCGCGGCCUAUCAGCUUGUUGGUGGGGUAAUGGCCUACCAAGGCGUCGACGGGUAGCCGGCCUGAGAGGGUGGACGGCCACAUUGGACUGAGAUACGGCCUAGACUCCUACGGGAGGCAGCAGUGGGGAAUAUUGCACAAUGGGCGCAAGCCUGAUGCAGCGACGCCGCGUGGGGGAUGACGGCCUUCGGGUUGUAAACCUCUUUCGACAGGGACGAAGCUUUGGUGACGGUACCUGUAUAAGAAGCACCGGCUAACUACGUG
rnacentral:rRNA from 1 species